rnacentral:rRNA from 1 species
UGAGGAAUAUUGGUCAAUGGACGAGAGUCUGAACCAGCCAAGUAGCGUGCAGGUUGACGGCCCUAUGGGUUGUAAACUGCUUUUGUUUGGGAAUAAUCGACAUUACGUGUAAUGUUUUGCAUGUACCAUUCGAAUAAGGACCGGCUAAUUCCGUGCCAGCAGCCGCGGUAAUACGGAAGGUCCAGGCGUUAUCCGGAUUUAUUGGGUUUAAAGGGAGUGUAGGCGGUUGGUUAAGCGUGUUGUGAAAUGUAGAUGCUCAACAUCUGACUUGCAGCGCGAACUGGCUGACUUGAGUACACACAACGUAGGCGGAAUUCAUGGUGUAGCGGUGAAAUGCUUAGAUAUCAUGAAGAACUCCGAUUGCGAAGGCAGCUUACGGGAGUGUUACUGACGCUUAAGCUCGAAGGUGCGGGUAUCGAACAGG